AGUUUGGCAUGGAAUUUUGGUAACUAAUAGUUUAAUGUAGUUGGAACAUGCUUUUGCUUGAAGUUUUUGAUGCUUGUGGUUUUUUGGUUGUAUGAGUGAGUCUAAAGACUACUUUAGGUGAUGUUUUUUGCAAGUGAAUGUGAAUGUUGAGAAUUGGUUGAUUUGAUUCUCUUAAUGUCACGAGUCUCUUGGUCACUACUUUUGCUGAGUAAAGUAUUGCUGGUGUGUUAAGUUCUGGACUUUGUGCUUCCAAAAUAAUAAAUUUAUCACUAGAUGAGUCACCCUAUGUUAUGACUUGAGAAGUCAAGUGUCAGAUUCUUGUCUAGUCAUCAAUGUAGCAUCUUGCGGAUUCCAUACACCACAGCCGCUAGUAUAUUGUACUUAAUGUGGCUUCCUAAAUGAAUAGUGGCAGUGACUAGUGCUUAUUAUGACUUGAGAUGUCAAGUGUGAUAUCCUUGUAUAGUCAUCAAUGUAGCAUUUUGAGGAUUUCAUACAUCGUAGCUGGUGAUAUAGUUUCUUCACAUAGAAAGCUUUCUAUAUGAAUAGUUGCAAAUUUUAUUAGCGUAACUGGUUUAGCUGUUACAUCAAAGGUAAAUUACAUCUUUAUUGAUAUGCCCCUUGCCUAGAAGGUACUUCACACAGAUAAAUUGUUCUCCUCUUUCUUUCCGCUUAGUUUAAAUAUCUCUCUUAUGUGUAGGAUAUUUGUGGACCUUCCUAACGUUGGGAACUGAACGAAAAUCUUAAAGAUUAUUUGUAAUAUGUCGAAACCUGACUACAUUGCUAAUCUUGAUCAAAAUGACCAAGAUGAUGCAAAAAUGGAAAUUAAAUGCUUCCAAAUUAAAUUUGUAGCUUGGGUAUAGAGUUUAGCAUGUUUUGGAAGUGUUUGGAUGAAUUCGGAGUGAGCUGGAUGUGAGAAACGAGUUGUCAAAGCUGCUGCUGCCAGCAGGGACUGAAUUGCGAACCUGUAGGGACUGAAAUGUAAACUGCAGGAUUGUAAUGCACUUUUGCUGAAUUGAAGGGUUAAAGAGCAAUUGCUUGUUCUUACCACUUAACCCCAGCCCCCUGGAAAAUGUCCACGUACCCAGCACCCCUCUCCAAUGCUUCUUUUCAUUUUUUUUCUCCUUUCUUUCUUUCUCAGCCUUUGGAGCAGAGAAGUGAAGAAAAGCUUGUGAAGUUGAGUUUUCUUGCUGUUGGAGCUAAGAAGAAACUCUGUGGGACUGAAAAGAAGGCUUUUGGAGCUGAGAAAUCCCUUGGGGAAGCUUUAAAUCCAGACUUGGGUUUUGGACUUGAUAGGAGCUGCCGAAGUGGGAAACCAGCUGAGGAAGCUUAGAGUUCGAGAAAUUCAAGUAGAAGCUGUUGGUGGGCUGCCUUGUGGAGGUUUUGGGCGCCCAGAUUGAGAGAGGACCUGAGGGAGCUUCUUUGGUGUUUCGAAUUUCAAAAAAUCUAGUGGAGCCUUGAAGCUAGGGCUGAGAGGGGAAAUGUUGAAGUGCUGAAAUUACAACUUUGGUGGAGCUUCUUUUGGUGUUCUAAGCUGAAAGGAAGCUUUAGAAAGCUGAGAGCAACUUAGUGAAGCUUCUAAUUCAGGUUAAACAUGCUCGGGAGUUUGAGUUGACAUUCUGACGGACCUACGACGCGCUAUUUAAGAAACGCUUCGUUCUAGCUGUUUUGGCAUUGAGUCAUGGGGGCUAGGUGUUUACAUGUUUUGAGACGUUAGCUUUGACUUUUCGGCAUCCCUAUGAGGGAGGUGCAACUAGUCCAAGACCUUCUCUAAGGUCCCUAAAAUUGGAUGACUUUAUCCAAGCAAAAGCCAAGCUUCUCCACGGAGGAAACCACUUUCUCCUCCACGGAGGCGAUCUCCUCCAAUCCGCAGGGGGGCUGAUUCACCGAGGCGUCGACCAAAGUCUCUCUAUGCUUUUGUUAUAGAGAGAAGUUGUUUAGAGGAUUUAAAUAUGCACAACUCAAAUGGCAGUUCAAUAAGCUACAACCACACUAAUGGAUGGAAAAGUCUUUCCGUGGCAUGUGUGCUCGUUUGUGUAGAGAUGCGCAUUUGUUGCAGUUUCAAAGACUUUUACAACAGCAGAAACAAUGUUGAAUGCUCGAACUCUGAGGCAGUGGAUUGCAGCUUCUCUUGGGGCCUCAAGCAGUUGCAAAAUAUAUGGUGCCUGUCAGCACAAAUCUAACGGUACUUCUGGAUUUGCCAUUGCAAUCCAACAUAAUAAUAGACUGCAUUAACUCUUAGUUUAACUUAGGAAUCUGUUAUCUCAUACUUCUUGUUGACAUUUUCAAAGAUUGUGAGAAGUAAAAGCUAUAAAUUCAAGAUAUGCAUCCUUAGGUUAAUAUAUUAUGGAGGCAAUUAUCUGAAACCUGUCCUGCGUACCUUUCCAAUUUUGUUAUUUAUUUGCUUAAAAGUUAACGUUUCAAUACAAUGUCAUUAAUAGAAGUGUAAGGCCUACUGAUUUACUUCACCCUUAUUUCAUUCUAUAUGCUGAUUGCAAAUUAUUUGUUGACAAAGCUUGUAAAGGAGUUUAGGAUCGACCCCGCUAAUGCUUUUGCUUUUUGGGACUGGGUUGGUGGUCGUAAAACAGUUGCAUAAAUAGACUAAUUGUUACGGCUAACCAUGAUGAUUGCUUGAAACUAUUAGCCAUGUUUAUCACUUAGGAGAGAAAAAGCUUCUGUCUAUAAGAUUAUACCUGCAUAAUUACCAUGCUGCCUUUGAUUAAACUUACAAUAUUUAUUUGUAUUCCUAAGUGUCCUGGUUUGAUUAGUUUCAUUCUGGUGCUAUUUAUACUGUGGAAUUUAUUCUUCAGCAUUUCGAUGGCUUCUUUCUAGAGAACUGAUUUUGAUAAUUCAAAUAUUGUCAAAGUCCUUUAUCCUUCAAUUAAUAAGAUAUCUAGAUUAUUUUUUAGUUGUUUAUUGACCUGUUGAAUAUUUCAUAGCCAAUAACUAGAUUAAAUUUCAGGUUGAGGUAUUAUAAUGUCAUCAAAGAGGGUGA